UUGGUGCAAAAGUAAUUGCGGUUUUUGCUAUUAAAGUAAUGGUAAAAACCACAGUUACUUUUGCACCAA
rnacentral:miRNA from 1 species